UAUGAAGGGUGCAAGCGUUACUCGGAAUUACUGGGCGUAAAGCGUGCGUAGGUGGUGAGUUAAGUCUGAUGUGAAAUCCCCGGGCUCAACCUGGGAAUGGCAUUGGAUACUGACUCGCUAGAGUGCGGUAGAGGGUGGUGGAAUUCCCGGUGUAGCAGUGAAAUGCGUAGAGAUCGGGAGGAACAUCUGUGGCGAAGGCGGCCACCUGGACCAACACUGACACUGAGGCACGAAAGCGUGGGGAGCAAACAGG
rnacentral:rRNA from 1 species